rnacentral:rRNA from 1 species
UACGGAGGGUGCAAGCGUUAUCCGGAAUCACUGGGUUUAAAGGGUGCGUAGGCGGCUAUAUAAGUCAGAGGUGAAAGGCUACGGCUUAACUGUGGGAUUGCCUUUGAUACUGUAUAGCUGGAAUCGGGUUGAAGUUAGUGGAAUGCGGCAUGUAGCGGUGAAAUGCAUAGAUAUGUCGUAGAACACCGAUUGCGAAGGCAGCUAACUGGGCUUGAAUUGACGCUGAGGCACGAAAGCGUGGGGAUCGAACAGG